rnacentral:lncRNA from 1 species
GGCAGGGGCGACAAAGGGUUUCCUUCAAACCCUAGUUUACACACAAAAUCCUUAAAUUGAAGCCUCAAAUCUGCCCUAAAUCAAGUCUUGAACAUGAAUUAGUGAUCACCUCGUUGUAGGGAUCAAAAAGAUGAAUUCUUGUAAAAAUCUUUGCAUGAUUCUUGCGAAGUUAAUAAUCACCAUUGUUGGUAAAGAAUCCGGGUCGUCAAGUGGACAAGCCGGAGGUGAUACACGCUUAAAGGGUGCGCUUUGAAG